GCCCGUGUGUAUGACCGGGGCUGCCUGCGCCGGGAGGGCCCGGGGAGAGUAGCGGGAGCCCGACCGUGGGUGCAGGGGCCUGGGGCAGGACUGCCCCACCCAGGGAGUCCCCAGAGAUGGAGGUGGAGGGAUCCAAGCCUCACUCGCUAUCUGGUACGACUCCAGAGAGGACAGUGAUCCGCGACGGGCUGGGAUCCCCUUUUCUGAUGAAAAGAGGUCCGGGGGCGGUGUGGGAUCAGACUCAUCACCCCCAGAGGUUGCCCUCCCCCCACUUCGGUCCCCACCUCGCGGGGAGGCCUGGGGGAAAUGGACUGGCUGAGGUCAGAGUUCGGGAGCUGUGUCCGUCACUCCAUCAGAUUACUCGGGAUGUGCAUGCUGGCGGCGCUGGACCAGUAAGUCAGAAAGGAGCCCACCCCUGCCAUGAGGAGGUCGAGGGGACAGCAGGAUGGCAGGAUCAAGUGACAGCAACAGCUCCUGUCCUCGGCCCCAACUCACAUGGCUGAAGAGCUCAUUGGUGAGACCCAGGUAGUUGUGAAGCGCCAGGAAGGUGACUCGCUGCAAACGCACCAUGAUGA